UCAGGCCUAACACAUGCAAGUCGAACGGUAACAGGCCGAGAGAUCCUUCGGGUGAUCUGGUGGCNGAGUGGCGANCGGGUGAGUAACGCGUAGGAAUCUGCCCAGUAGUGGGGGAUAACCCGGGGAAACUCGGGCUAAUACCGCAUACGCUNUACGGAGGAAAGCGGGGGACCUUCGGGCCUCGCGCUAUNGGAUGAGCCUAGGUCGGAUUAGCUUGUUGGUGGGGUAAUGGCCUACCAAGGCGACGAUCCGUAGCUGGUNUGAGAGGACGAUCAGCCACACUGGGAGUGAGACACGGCCCAGACUCCUACGGGAGGCAGCAGUGGGGAAUAUUGGACAAUGGGCGAAAGCCUGAUCCAGCAAUACCGCGUGUGUGAAGAAGGCCUCCGGGUUGUAAAGCACUUUCAGUGGGGAAGAAAAGCUNGUGGNUAAUACCUCNCGCGACNCNG
rnacentral:rRNA from 1 species